UGAGGAAUAUUGGACAAUGGGCGCAAGCCUGAUCCAGCCAUGCCGCGUGCAGGAAGAAGCAUCUAUGGUGUGUAAACUGCUUUUGUACGGGAAGAAACACUCCUUCGUGAAGGAGCUUGACGGUACCGUAAGAAUAAGGAUCGACUAACUCCGUGCCAGCAGCCGCGGUAAUACGGAGGAUCCAAGCGUUAUCCGGAAUCAUUGGGUUUAAAGGGUCCGUAGGCGGUUUAGUAAGUCAGUGGUGAAAGCCCAUCGCUCAACGAUGGAACGGCCAUUGAUACUGCUAGACUUGAAUUAUUAGGAAGUAACUAGAAUACGUAGUGUAGCGGUGAAAUGCUUAGAUAUUACAUGGAAUAACAAUUGUGAAGGCAGGUUACUACUAAUGGACUGACGCUGAUGGACGAAAGCGUGGGGAGCGAACA
rnacentral:rRNA from 1 species